CGCUCUCUGCCCUGUUUGUUUUUGUUCCUGUAGCGCCCGGGCGGAAUACUGAAUAAACCGGGGACCUUUCUCUACCGUGGUGUGCUGCCCUCUGUACGCGGGAAUUGCCUGAAGCGGUAUAUCGGUGCCCACCUUAAGGGAACUCGCCAGAGGCCCCUUGGAGCUGACGGCAGGGUGGAGAGACG
rnacentral:other from 1 species